CGAAGUUGGAUGCUUAACCGACCGAGCCACCCAGGCACCCCUGUGAGGCAUUGCAUGUGGCCCUGAGGAUGUAAAGUUGAAUAAGGAUGUUCCUGCCUUUCAAAUGCCAAUAAUCCUUGGAGAAGAUAUGCAAACAUGUGAACACUAUACAAUAUGAUAUGCAUGCCCUUCAAGUCCGUUUCUUAGCCUGUCCACAAACAGUUCUGUCAGCUGCACAGUGACCCGGAGUUCUGCAGCCCCCCCUGAGUCUGGGGAAGGGGCAAAGAUGCCGGCUGGGCAGCUUGCUGGAGCCAGGUUCUGUCUCCUCUCUAACCACGUUGGCCAGUGUGACCCUGCACACGUGAUGUUAGGGAGUUGAGACCUGGAAAGAUGAAAAGUGAUUUUCCCGAGCGCCUAGAACAUUUGCUUGCCUAGUGCCAACUACUGAUCUAGGCACUUCCCACGUAUUACUGUUGCUGGAGAGAGGUUGGAGCUAUGGCUGCUGGACUAAGUUGAGAGAUACCACGAAAGAGAAGAGGAUCCCGAGAGAUGUUGCAAGUUCUGACAGGUAGCAGCUUCACCUAUGGGGAGACAGGCUGGUUGUAAACCAGAAAACAGGUCAGGAACGCCUGAAAACUCUGCCCAUACAUUGUGAAGAACUUCCUGAGGAAGUUUCCUAAAUUGGACACCAAGUAUGAAGCGGACCCCUGGUGCCAGAUCUUGGUGUGCAAAAGAGGCAACUUGGACACAGAGACGGUGCAGAGAUGGCCAUGUGAAGACACAGACACACAAGGAGAAUGCCAUGUGAAGAAGGAGACAGAGGUUGGAAUGAUGUUUCUCUAAGCCGAGGAAUGCCAAGAAUUCCUGACCAUCACGAAGCUAGGACAGAGGCAUGGAGCAGAUUUCUCUCAGCGCCCUUCGAAGAUACAUCUUAACCGUCUAUCAUGGGUACGAAUUAUUGUCAAGAGAUGGAGAAGUAUAUAGUCUUGUGUGCCUCUUUGUCACGUGUCAAUACUGGAAAAGAAACUGAUCAUUAUUGGAAGAAGGAAGAAAAUACAGAUUUCAUGAAAAUAGUUGCUUCAACCUGUUAUGGUCAUUACAAAAAUUACACGCAUUGUACAAUGGAGUAUUAUUCGGCCCUUGCAAAGAAAGAAAUCCUGCCAUUUGUGACAAAUGGUCAAACUCUAGGUGACUGCAGCAUUGGCUGACAGCAAGACUGAAACCUCCUGUGAGACCCUGAACUCCUGUGAGAUGCUGAACUACUCAGUGCAUGCUGAUGAAGCACCACGAGGGCUGUUUCCACCGCCUCUGUAUCUUCAAGAAGACUGGGUCGAUCCUGUUCAUCAGGGCAAUUCCUGGAGCUGGUUUCUGCAGUAUAGGCAUCAAGAGCAAUAAAUCUCCUCUAAGUACUACAUUGGCAGCAUCCCUGUAGACUCUCGUAAUUUUUUCUGUUGCAUCUUAAAUGUCUCCCCAACCAAAAGUUUAUUUAAGAAGAAUUUACUCUCCUAAAUGCAAUAAGAAAAAGAGCUGAAAAAGAGGUACAACUAGAGGAAGGAAAUGGCAUACGAUAAAAUGAUCAGUUGUUGAUAUUAUGAUAUUACACCCAAGAUAAUCAAAUGAAAAUUAGUCAACACUUAAAGUGAAGAGAUGUAAAAUAAAUAUUACCAAAAUGA